CCAAAUUCAAACUGGUCCUGGCGGGUCUUGCACUGCAAUGUCUCGUCCCUUGUGUGGCGUAAUGUGAAAUCAUUGAAAAGCUUGUGUGAAUUGAAGGCUUGGCUUAAUACUGUGUUAUAUCUCAGCUUAUCAUUAUUAAGUAUUUACCAUUUGACGUUAAAAAACAACAAUACUCCACAGAGAUAUCCAAGUAUAACAGAGGCUUCCAUACUGUAGCUAAUGAUCAACAGAGAAUUACCAGCCUUUCUCUGUGUGUCAAGGAGAGCCCUUAGGGAAACGUUCGUGUGCGUGUGUGUGUGUGUGUGUGUGUGGUAUGGAAAGAUAUAAUUGCUUAAGUACAGCCUCUCUCUCUCUCUCUCUCUCUCUCUCUCUCUCUCUCUCUCUCUCUCUCUCUCUCUCUCUCUCUCUCUCUCUCUCUCUCUCUCUCUCUCUCUCUACGUAUUUUGCCUGUCUGCCCUCGUGUGUGUGUGUGUGUGUGUGUGUGUGUGUGUGUGUGUGUGUGUGUAUCUCAUUUAUUUAUUUAAGUUAUUUUUCUUCUUCACGCAGAUAGUAAUUUAUGAACACAACACACCACGUGGAGAGAAGCAAGGUGUGGAGUACCCAAGCCUCUCACAGUCCAUGCUAGUAGACUCACCCUGCAUGUGGAGAUCUCCCAAAAUUCACGGAGGUUAUUCCAGAGCUGCAGGACAGAGUACUUGAGGCCAUUGGUGAACAGAAAGCUGAGGUUGAACAAAGCCAAGAAUUGAUAGCUGCCCAAGGUGUAAGCAAGAUUCACAAUGAUGAGGUCAUUGUGACGUGUGCAAUGUGUCCACUGGUCUUGGCCUUCCUGACCAAGGCAGCCACACAAAGGAAAUUCCACGUUAUUGUUGCCGAACGUGCCCCUAAAUAUGAUGGUCACCCAGUGGCAAAAGCUUUAUGUACUGCUGGAAUUGAGACAACAUUAAUUCAAGACUCUGCAGUGUUCCCCAUCAUGUCACGUGUCAACAAGGUCAUCAAAGGUCAUCGUUGGCACCGAGACGGUGGUGACCAACGGAGGCAUUGAGACCUUUGUUGGUGCAGCCUCUCUUGCCUCACCACCAAAGUUUUAUUCUGUUCCACUGUAUGUGUGCACUCCCACAUACAAAUUUAGCUUGAUGGGCUGUGAAGAAACAAGCCACCAAACCACCACUUCUAUUAUCCCAGAGGGAACAAAGUUUUGGCCGUCUGUAAAUACUGCGCUGACUCAGCUAGAUUACGUUCCUCCAGAAAAUGUCACCAGUUUGAUAACUAACAAUCGAGGUACUGCACCAUCCUACGUGUACCGGCAGCUUAGCGAACUGUACCGUCCCACUUCUUGUGAUCUCUAAGGUAACAGCUUUAAUCCUUGCAAAUAAGGAAUAAGAGAAAAGAGACACACCUGCCAUUUGUACUGUUAUGCUGUAGUGUUCUGUCAUUUUUUUCCUCUUUUAUCCUAGAACCAUUUUUGGUCAUUCAUGUUUAUAAAAAUUAUUAUACAAAAAUGUUGAGCUUAAUAUGUUUGGUGUAGUUUUUUGUAACAUGUGUUAUUGUUAAUGUGUGUGGUUCCCCUCAGGAAGAAUGUUGCAGUAUUAGCAGUAAUGUUACAGCCAAUGGAAGUGUCUGUAUUGUGCUUUGGUGGGAGGUUAAUUCGAUGUAUUUUUAGAGUUGUGCAGGAUAUAGCAAGCCCUCAAAAUAAAGAAAAUAACUAUAGAAAACACUCCUUGUAUUGAAAACACCACUGCAGAGAAAUCUCUAAUGAAACAGGAAACCCUACAUUCAGUACUGUGUGGUUGUUGCACUAACACUGAGCUAAAUGCCUUUUGGAUGGUUGUACACUAAAAAUAAUGUAAAAAUCCCUAUAAACAACUG